GACGAACCGAGCGAACGUUAUUCGGAAUCACUGGGCUUAAAGGGCGCGUAGGCGGGCCGCCAAGUCAGGGGUGAAAGCCCCCAGCUCAACUGGGGAAGUGCCUUUGAUACUGGCGGUCUCGAGGGGGAUAGGGGCGUGCGGAACUUCCGGUGGAGCGGUGAAAUGCGUAGACAUCGGAAGGAACACCGGUGGCGAAAGCGGCGCGCUGGAUCCCUUCUGACGCUGAGGCGCGAAAGCCAGGGGAGCGAACGGG
rnacentral:rRNA from 1 species